UACGUAGGGCGCAAGCGUUUGUCCGGAAUUAUUGGGCGUAAAGGGCUCGUAGGCGGUUUGUCGCGUCGGGAGUGAAAACCUCGGGCUUAACUCGGGGCUUGCUUUCGAUACGGGCAGACUAGAGGUAUGCAGGGGAGAACGGAAUUCCUGGUGUAGCGGUGAAAUGCGCAGAUAUCAGGAGGAACACCGGUGGCGAAGGCGGUUCUCUGGGAAUGUUCUGACGCUGAGGAGCGAAAGUGUGGGGAGCGAACAGG
rnacentral:rRNA from 1 species